rnacentral:lncRNA from 1 species
AGUGCUAUUCAGUCAGAAGUUGCCAAAAAUCAGAUGCUUAUUGAAGAAGAAGUACAGAAAUUAAAAAGAUACAAGAUUGAGAAUAUCAGAAGGAAGCAUAAUUAUCUGCCUUUCAUUAUGGAAUUGUUAAAGACUUUAGCAGAACACCAGCAGUUAAUACCACUAGUAGAAAAGGCAAAAGAAAAACAGAACGCAAAGAAAGCUCAGGAAACCAAAUGAAGAUGUUUUCAGAUAUGUACACAUUUCUGCUUCUGCACAUAUUUUCAUGGAAACCAUUAUGUAUAAAGAACUUAGAGCAACAUCCUAAUUGGCUCAGUGCACGUUUGGCAAUAGUGCCAGCCUGUCUUGUCUUUAAUGCAUGGAUUCAUAAACUUCUUCCCUACCUGCAUCAUGUGCAUGUAGUGCAUAUUAAAUGAAAGUGAUAUUAAGAAUGCUUUCCCAAAUUCCAUUAUUUGACAUUGAGUCUGACAACUGUUAGUUUUCUGGUUGUCUAACUACCAUAUGAAGCUAGAAAAUGCACAAACGAUAUUCCUUAUCUGUAAUUUAAAUACUUAAAAUUUGCAAUUGUCAGAUCUUGAUUAAACUGGUUGUCUUAUUUCUUCUCAUCAUUAACGGAAAAAAAAUCAGUAUUUCUAUCUUUGAUAUCUAAGUGUUUUGAGGAUUUUAAAACUGAAUUUUAUCUGCUAUACCAGUUAUUUGAGAAAGUAUGAUUUUAAUGUAAAUCAUUUAAAAAGGACAAAAGUAUAAUUUCCAGUGAUUUUCACUGCUGUCAGUAGAAAAGUAAUAAA